rnacentral:rRNA from 1 species
UGGGGAAUAUUGCGCAAUGGGGGAAACCCUGACGCAGCAACGCCGCGUGAAGGAUGAAGGCUUUCGGGUUGUAAACUUCUUUGAUCGGGGACGAAAACUGACGGUACCCGAGGAACAAGCCACGGCUAACUACGUGCCAGCAGCCGCGGUAAUACGUAGGUGGCGAGCGUUGUCCGGAAUUACUGGGUGUAAAGGGCGUGUAGGCGGGAUGUCAAGUCAGAUGUGAAAUACCGAGGCUUAACUUCGGGGGUGCAUCUGAAACUGAAAUUCUUGAGUGUCGGAGAGGAAAGUGGAAUUCCCAGUGUAGCGGUGAAAUGCGUAGAGAUUGGGAGGAACACCAGUGGCGAAGGCGGCUUUCUGGACGAUAACUGACGCUGAGGCGCGAAAGCGUGGGUAGCAAACAGG